UGCAUUUACCUGGAGGUUUCGCAUGGCUGCCAGAUGCUUAACCUAGUCAUUAAUAAAUGCUAUACGAAAAUGCUUGAGUGGACAUUAUUUUCACUACUGAAAUUGUGUCAAUGUGAAAAUCUACAUGAUUUAAGCAACAA
rnacentral:snoRNA from 1 species